rnacentral:rRNA from 1 species
GACGAACGCUGGCGGCGUGCUUAACACAUGCAGGUCGAACGGAAAGGCCCUGCUUUUGUGGGGUGCUCGAGUGGCGAACGGGUGAGUAACACGUGAGUAACCUGCCCUUGACUUUGGGAUAACUUCAGGAAACUGGGGCUAAUACCGGAUAGGAGCUCCUGCUGCAUGGUGGGGGUUGGAAAGUUUCGGCGGUUGGGGAUGGACUCGCGGCUUAUCAGCUUGUUGGUGGGGUAGUGGCUUACCAAGGCUUUGACGGGUAGCCGGCCUGAGAGGGUGACCGGCCACAUUGGGACUAAGAUACGGCGCAGACGCCUACGGGGGGCAGCAGUGGGGAAUAUUGCACAAUGGGCGGAAGCCUGAUGCAGCAACGCCGCGUGCGGGAUGACGGCCUUCGGGUUGUAAACCGCUUUCGCCUGUGACGAAGCGUGAGUGACGGUAAUGGGUAAAGAAGCACCGGCUAACUACGUG